GCAAAUCAAUAUAAAUUGAUUAAUAUUUAUUUAUUAAUUUAUUAUUUGUUUAUUAUUAUAAUAUAUUAAAAAUAAUUAUAUAAUUUAAUGUUUUAGUAAUUUUUAAUGAAAAAAUAAAUUUAAUAAUAUUGAAUUAAGUAUUGUGAAAGGUUAUUUAAAUAAUUUGAAAAAUUUUUAUUUAGAAAGAAAAUUUAAUUUAUUGUACCUUGUGUAUCAGGGUUUAUUAAAUAAUUAAUAUUUAUAUAUUAAUUUCGAUUUUAUAAGAGUUAAUAAUUUAUGAAAGUUAAUGUGUCAAAAUUAUUUGUAAUAAGUUAUUAGAAAUGAAAUGUUAUUCGUUUAUAAAGGUAUCUAGUUUUUUUAGAAAUAAAUUUAAUUUAUAAAUUUUUAAUUUUUUAAUUAUUUGGUUUAAUUAAAAAAAUUAUUAAUUUGAAUAUUUUAAGGGAUAAGCUUUAGAAUAAAUUGUUAAAAAUUUAUAGUUAAUUAUGUUAAAAUGUAUGUGUAGAAUUAACAAUCAUUUAUAAGUUUAUUAUAAAUUAUUUUAUUAUUUAUAUUAUUUAUUAAGUUUUUAAAUUUAUAUAAAAAUUUUUUUAUAAAUUCAAAAUAAGAAGUAAUAAUGAUAAAAUUAGUAUAAUUGUUAUUGUUUAUUUAAUUUUAUUUGAUAAGUUUAUAUAAAGAACUCGGCAAAUAAUAUACUCGCCUGUUUAACAAAAACAUGUCUUUUUGAGUUAUUUUUAAAGUCUGACCUGCCCACUGAAUUAAUUUAAAUGGCCGCAGUAUUUUAACUGUGCAAAGGUAGCAUAAUCAUUAGUCUUUUAAUUGAAGGCUGGUAUGAAUGGUUGGACGAAGUAUAAACUGUUUCAUAUAAAUUUAUUUUAGAAUUUUAUAUUUUAGUUAAAAAGCUAAAAUUUUGUUAAAAGACGAGAAGACCCUAUAAAUCUUUAUAUUUAAUAUUAUUUUAAUUUUUUGGGCAUUUUUUAUUUUUAUAAUAUAAAAUAUUUUGCUGGGGUGAUAUUAAAAUUUAAUAAACUUUUAAUUUUUUUAAAAAUCAUUAAUUUAUGAUAAGUUGAUCCAUUUUUAUUGAUUAUAAGAUUAAGUUACUUUAGGGAUAACAGCGUAAUUUUUUUGGAGAGUUCAUAUCGAUAAAAAAGUUUGCGACCUCGAUGUUGGAUUAAGAUAUAUUUUUAGGUGUAGCUGCUUAAAUAUUAAGUCUGUUCGACUUU
rnacentral:rRNA from 1 species